AAGACUAUAGACCUGCGGAGUACCUGCGGAGGGAUCAUUAUAGAAAAAACAUAUUGAACCUGGAGGGGGGAGAGGGGGCGUGAGCUCUCUUUCUUCUUUCUGGGCAAACAACCAACACACAUGACUAGAAAGUGACAGACUGGAUUGGAUUGGGGGGGGGGAUCUCGCAAGAGAGAAAAGUUCUUGUCUGAUAAAAUGUAGCUUGUUGAUUUGGAGUUACUACAAUCAAUACAACUUUCA
rnacentral:misc_RNA from 1 species